UCCAGCCACCUCUAGAAUCAUUAAGUAUCUCUAGUCUUGACUUUUUGCUAACCUGUCUUUGUUUACUUGUGCGCUAGAUCGGUGACUACCUGGAUGUUACCCAGGCUGGACCGACGGACUACUUCCCUAAGCUCACCUUGUCUCAGACUACUGAAGAAUCUGAGCUUUUCUGGUGCCUCGCUGUUACUGAUCUACUGAGCUAACCCUGCUGGCUGCUGCCAGGUGAUUCCUGCCACAUACCGAUCCUGCAGAACCUGUCCACCCUCCACCGCCCUCAAGCAACCCGACUCUGUUCUACCAGGCUCUGUUGUCCACUAUGUGUUCUUGGUGCUUUCGAACUUACCGCACGGUGCUCUCAUCGUGGUCAGUCCGAAUCCCUCUCCUCCUGGCAGAGUACUCUCCCGGCCUACCUGGCUGUGUACCAGAGCACCCAGUAAUCCUGUGUAAAAUAAAACUCGUUACAAACUUU